rnacentral:lncRNA from 1 species
CCGAACCAAGCCAAGAUAUAAAGAUAUAAAUUUUAAUAUAUAUUUUUAAGACUUUUUAUAGAACAUUCUUUAAAAAUAUUUGAAAAUAUUUGGGAUUCUCUUAUAGGAUGUAAUAUUUACUAGUAUAUAAAAUGCUUCAUUUUUAUUAACUUUAAAUAAUGGGUUAUAAGAUUAUUUUCUUAUUAAGUGUUACUUAAAUGCGUUUAUCUCUUUGUUCUUCCAUAUUCAUUUGUCUAGAUCUAUUAAGUUCUUUUUUUUUAAAUUGAAGUGGUAUGUCAAUAAUUUAAAAUUAAAUAGAACAUUCAUUAUUUUGCUAUCAUAUUGAUUUUUAUGUUUAAUUAUUAAAUUCGAUAACCUUAAAAGUGUAUAACAAAAGAAAAAUUAUAUAUAUAUAUAUAUAUAUAUAU